UACGUAGGUGGCAAGCGUUGUCCGGAUUUACUGGGCGUAAAGAGCGCGCAGGCGGUCGUUCAAGUCGCGUGUGAAAGCCCCCGGCUCAACUGGGGAGGGUCACGCGAUACUGAUCGACUCGAAGGCAGGAGAGGGUAGUGGAAUUCCCGGUGUAGCGGUGAAAUGCGCAGAUAUCGGGAGGAACACCUAUGGCGAAGGCAGCUCGCUGGGACGUUACUGACGCUGAGACGCGAAAGCGUGGGGAGCAAACAGG
rnacentral:rRNA from 1 species